UCUCCGUAGGUGAACCUGCGGAGGGAUCAUUACAGAGUUCAUGCCCUAACGGGUAGAUCUCCCACCCUAUGUUAUCAUCACUUUGUUGCUUUGGCGGGCCGUCAGGCCUCGGCUUGGCUACCGGCUCUCGCUGGUAAGCGCCCGCCAGAGAACCCCAGACCCUGAAUAUCAGUGUCGUCUGAGUACUAUAUAAUAGUUAAAACUUUCAACAACGGAUCUCUUGGUUCUG
rnacentral:misc_RNA from 1 species